rnacentral:rRNA from 1 species
AUGAGAGUUUGAUCCUGGCUCAGGACGAACGCUGGCGGCGUGCCUAAUACAUGCAAGUCGAACGCUUCUUUCCUCCCGAGUGCUUGCACUCAAUUGGAAAGAGGAGUGGCGGACGGGUGAGUAACACGUGGGUAACCUACCCAUCAGAGGGGGAUAACACUUGGAAACAGGUGCUAAUACCGCAUAACAGUUUAUGCCGCAUGGCAUAAGAGUGAAAGGCGCUUUCGGGUGUCGCUGAUGGAUGGACCCGCGGUGCAUUAGCUAGUUGGUGAGGUAACGGCUCACCAAGGCCACGAUGCAUAGCCGACCUGAGAGGGUGAUCGGC